ACCUUGAGUGUGUUAUAGUUUGACUACACCAUAACUCGAUCUCCUAGCUAUUCAGAACCCUGAGGUGUAUGUUGGCUGUAGCAUAUUCAUUGUAGGAACCAGAUUGCACCAAGAUGGGAUCUAUCAACCUCGAUAGAUAAGAGAAGUAGUCUUAUGAUGAUCGAAAGAUUGAGUCCUUAAGCCCAUGGCCAUGGCAGAGUGAAAUAAUGGAAAAGAGUUUUCUAUUGGAGUUUCACAUCGGAUUCGGAUCGAUC
rnacentral:lncRNA from 1 species